rnacentral:rRNA from 1 species
UACGGAGGGUGCAAGCGUUAAUCGGAAUUACUGGGCGUAAAGCGCGCGUAGGCGGUUUGAUAAGCGGAGUGUGAAAUCCCCGGGCUUAACCUGGGAACUGCAUUCCGAACUGUCAAGCUAGAGUAUGGUAGAGGGUGGCGGAAUUCCGAGUGUAGCGGUGAAAUGCGUAGAUAUGCGGAGGAACACCGGUGGCGAAGGCGGCCCGCUGGGCUGUGGCUGACGCUGAGGCGCGACAGCGUGGGGAGCAAACAGG